UUCCUUCCCAAAAACUAACACUAGAAAUAAUCAGAACAGAGUGAGUUUGAAGCCUGACUCUGGUAAUUACUAGGCACGCUGAUUCAUAAAAUGUGGAGAAUAACAUCAGCAGAGACAUUGUGUCGUAAGGAUUAAUGGAGUAGUGUGUGUGUGCUUUUAAGAGCUUACUAGGAUGUCUGGUGCUUUUUAGGAGAUCAACAUAUUUUCUUAUACUCUCUGUAGAAGAGAAUAUUGUUUUCUGCUUGUGUGUGAUACUAAUUGCUUUGCUUGUGUUCUAGAUCCUCUUUUCUUCUUCUCCACCAUCUGCUAUCAGCUCCCCCACAGCCUUACCCCCUUCUCCACCUUUGUGAUUUCCCAAUUCCAACCUCUCUACAAGCACUUAGUGGACAACUCAGGUUGUCUCUCUUAUUUAGAACAAAACAUCUUCCAUCCAAUAUAUACUUACCCACCAUCUUUGCCCUCUUUUUCCCCUGUCAAGUUUCUUUGCAAAACGGUCUAUAUUUGUUGUCUUCAUUUUCACCUCCUAUUUUCUUGACAACCUAUUACAAGACAAUUUUGCCCUGGGCUAUUCACCUGAAACCUUGGAAUCAUUGUGCAUGCCUUUCUCUCCCUCUCCCUCAAUCUUAUACAGUCCAGUUCAUUCCAUAUCCACAUUCUUUCUAGAUAUCAAUUUACUUCGUCCACAAAUCUUUGUAUUAUUUUCAUUUUUUGUAUGGCUGAUUCCAGUGUUAACCAUAGUUCAUGAAACAAAUGUGGGACUUAGUGUUAGUUGCUAUUGGCUUCUGAGCCCAGGCAACCACUUUUUUGAUGUUUCAUGAAUAAUUUGCUUUAAUGUGCUAUGACUCAGUGUGUGUGCUUAAUCUGGAAGAUGGGAACAAUAAAAACUGUUAAACAUGUGUUG
rnacentral:lncRNA from 10 species